GCGUUCUGCAGCGUGGAAUGUUGGACCGUUAGGUUUGGGAACCGCCAAGCUUUGGGGCUGCCGGCGACCUCGGGCCAGGACUUUGCGCAGUUGGCAGCAGCCCUUGCGGAGCCAGGAGUGAGGUCCCUCUGUUCCCUGCUAGGCCCAAGAGACACAAACCGCCUCCUGGCCGGAAAAGAUAACUGAGUAGAAAGAAUGGUCGAGAAAAGAGAACAAGAUCCGAAGUGGGUGUCUCAGACUAAGUUCCGCAGUGAUGACAACUUUAAAGAGAAAACUGGAAGCUAAAGACACAGAGAGACCCAUCAGAAGAAUGCCUUCUAAAACGAGGAGGCAACUCAGACUCUCUGAAGGAGUUUGACACUGUGUUACCUCAGUACCCCAAAGCUCCUUCCCUGGGGGGUACUUUACGAAUAAAGUGGCUACAUGACAAAGAUA